GUGGGGAAUCUUGCGCAAUGGGCGAAAGCCUGACGCAGCCAUGCCGCGUGGAUGAUGAAGGUCUUAGGAUUGUAAAAUCCUUUCACCGGUGAAGAUAAUGACUGUAGCCGGAGAAGAAGCCCCGGCUAACUUCGUGCCAGCAGCCGCGGUAAUACGAAGGGGGCUAGCGUUGCUCGGAUUUACUGGGCGUAAAGGGCGCGUAGGCGGACAUUUAAGUCAGGGGUGAAAUCCCGGGGCUCAACCUCGGAACUGCCUUUGAUACUGGGUGCCUUGAGUAGGAGAGAGGUGUGUGGAACUCCGAGUGUAGAGGUGAAAUUCGUAGAUAUUCGGAAGAACACCAGUGGCGAAGGCGACACACUGGCUCAUUACUGACGCUGAGGCGCGAAAGCGUGGGGAGCAAACAGGAUUAGAUACCCUUGUAGUCC
rnacentral:rRNA from 1 species